AUGGCGACGCUGACUGUUGAGGACGUGCUGCGGGUGAAUGGCAGUCGCCGGUUCGCCGUCGCGCUGGCCGCCGCCUCCCCCUUCGGCUCUCUCGCCGACGCGCUACUCGCCGCCCGCCGCAUCUGGCGCAACGAGGUGGACGUGCCUGGAUGGCUGGAGGCCUUCGCCGCCAACCCGCCCCUCGGCACCACCUCCCUCUCCAUCUCCAAAUGGAGCAAGGAGGAGCAAUCAGUUGCGCGUUCCACGGCGACUCAUUCGACUGCACAGGACUUGUCCGAAUGGAAUGCCAAAUACAGGGACAAGUUUGGGUUUGUCUUUCUGAUAUGCGCAACUGGGAGGACCGCCCCCGAGGUCUUAGCUGAGCUCAAGAGGCGUUAUGCAAAUAGGCUGAUUGUUGAACUUGAGAUUGCGGCAGCGGAAGAAUUGAAGAUAACUGAACUGCGUCUUGCAAAACUUUUCUCGCCAGAGACUGCAGCUCCCCGACUUCAGUUAUUAGCCAACCAGUAA
rnacentral:rRNA from 1 species